CCAACUCAUGAUUGCGAUUGGAGUCUUUCUAUUCCUAUCAGCCGUCUGCGCCUGUUGUUGUGGUGCCAAAGUUGCGGCCUGUUGCUUGCUGCUUGCUUUCAUAAUGGUCACUGUUGUGGUUGUCCGCCUAAGCCACAGUAUCAGCAAAUUUGACAGCGAAAGAGUAGAGUCCGACAUAAGGAAGAAUAUGAUGGCUAAAAUAAAUAGCACCGCGGACCCCAUUUUGGAUUACAUUCAGCAAAAAUUGGAAUGUUGCGGAGUAGAGGGCCCAUCAGAUUGGCA